CCUACGGGUGGCAGCAGUGGGGAAUAUUGCACAAUGGGCGCAAGCCUGAUGCAGCCAUGCCGCGUGUGUGAAGAAGGCCUUCGGGUUGUAAAGCACUUUCAGCGGGGAGGAAGGCGUUAAGGUUAAUAACCUUGUCGAUUGACGUUACCCGCAGAAGAAGCGCGGGCUAACUCCGUGCCAGCAGCCGCGGUAAUACGGAGGGUGCAAGCGUUAAUCGGAAUUACUGGGCGUAAAGCGCACGCAGGCGGUCUGUCAAGUCGGAUGUGAAAUCCCCGGGCUCAACCUGGGAACUGCAUUCGAAACUGGCAGGCUAGAGUCUUGUAGAGGGGGGUAGAAUUCCAGGUGUAGCGGUGAAAUGCGUAGAGAUCUGGAGGAAUACCGGUGGCGAAGGCGGCCCCCUGGACAAAGACUGACGCUCAGGUGCGAAAGCGUGGGGAGCAAACAGGAUUAGAUACCCGUGUAGUC
rnacentral:rRNA from 1 species